UACAGAGGGGGCGAGCGUUGUUCGGAAUUACUGGGCGUAAAGGGCGCGUAGGCGGCCCGCUAAGUCGAACGUGAAAUCCCCAGGCUCAACCUGGGAACUGCGUCCGAUACUGGUGGGCUCGAAUCCGGGAGAGGGAUGUGGAAUUCCAGGUGUAGCGGUGAAAUGCGUAGAUAUCUGGAGGAACACCGAUGGCGAAGGCAGCCCCCUGGGUUAACACUGACGCUCAGGCACGAAAGCGUGGGGAGCAAACAGG
rnacentral:rRNA from 1 species